UGGGCAACCUGCCCUCAGCUCUGGGAUAACUCCAAGAAAUUGGGCUAAUACCGGAUAUGACCGCUGACCGCAUGGUCUGGUGGUGGAAAGAUUUAUCGGCUGGGGAUGGGCCCGCGGCCUAUCAGCUUGUUGGUGGGGUAGUGGCCUACCAAGGCGACGACGGGUAGCCGGCCUGAGAGGGCGAUCGGCCACACUGGGACUGAGACACGGCCCAGACUCCGUACGGGA
rnacentral:rRNA from 1 species